AAAACAUUUUUCCCCCUAAGUAAGAGCGACUGAAAAGGGUAAUAGAGCUAUAACAGAAGUACCGCAAGGGAAAGUUGAAAGAGGGAUUAAAUAGCCCAAUAAAGUUAAGAAAAGCAGAGAUUAACCCUCGUACCUUUUGCAUCAUGAUUUAGCCAGACCUCUUAAGCAAAGAGCCCUUUAGUUUAAUACCCCGAACCUGAGCGAGCUACUCCUAACCUGCCUAUUUUCUAGGGCUAACCCUCCUCUGUAGCAAAAGAGUGGGGAGAGUUAUGAGUAGAGGUGAUAAACCUAUCGAGCUCAGUUUUAGCUGGUUUUCUGGGAAAUGAAUAGAAGUUCAGCCUUCUACCUUCUUAUUCUAUAAAGUAGUUUUAUUAAAGACUAAUAUUAAUAGUAACAAGAAGCUAGAAGAGUUAGUCAAAGGGGGUACAGCCCCUUUGAAACAGAUACAACUUUGUUAGGGAGGAUAAAGAUCAUAUAUUAAAAGGGAAUAAUGUCUAGUGGGCCUAAAAGCAGCCACCAACUCUAGAUAGCGUCACAGCUCAAACUCCUCCUCAUCCCUAUUAUUCUGAAUUAGAUCUCUCAGUCCCCCACCCCUACCAGGAUAUGUUAUGCUAUCAUAACAGAAAUUAUGCUAAAAUGAGUAAUAAGAGGGGACUAGUCCCUCUCCUAAUACACCCGUGUAACUCGGAGCAGACCACCUACCGAGACUUAAGCGACCCCAAAACCAGAGGGACAUGUGUUCUAGGCUUGGUUGCAAGAAAAUUAUUCAAAACUUGAUCGUUGACCCUACACUGGAGUGUAUAUUAGGAAAGACCCAAAAAGGGGGAAGGAAUUCAGCAAACAAAAGCCUCGCCUGUUUACCAAAAACAUCGCCUCUUGCUCUUCCCAUAUAAGAGGUCAGACCUGCCCAGUGAUAUACAAUAUUUAACGGCCGCGGUAUUUUGACCGUGCUAAGGUAGCGCAAUCACUUGUCAUUUAAAUGAAGACCUGUAUGAAUGGUUUCACGAGGGCUUAACUGUCUCCCCCCUUUGGUCAAUGAAAUUGAUCUCUCCGUGCAGAAGCGGAGAUUCACUCAUAAGACGAGAAGACCCUAUGGAGCUUUAAAUAAAUAUGUGUGCCAAGUCAAUGAAGCAUAUAAGACUAUGAAACUUAUUGGCCUUUACAUACUAUUUUUGGUUGGGGCGACCCUGGGGAAUACAAAACCCCCAUGCGGAUUAAGGACACCUUGAGACUAGAUUCUCCCCCUUAAAACCCAGAAAGUCAUUUCUACUCAACAGAAUUUCUGACCCACAGGAUCCGGCACAGCCGACCAACGAACCUAGUUACCCUAGGGAUAACAGCGCAAU
rnacentral:rRNA from 1 species